rnacentral:rRNA from 1 species
CCUACGGGAGGCAGCAGUGGGGAAUAUUGGACAAUGGGGGGAACCCUGAUCCAGCCAUGCCGCGUGUGUGAAGAAGGCCCUCGGGUUGUAAAGCACUUUCAGUGAGGAAGAACGCCUGGUGGUUAAUACCCAUCAGGAAAGACAUCACUCACAGAAGAAGCACCGGCUAACUCCGUGCCAGCAGCCGCGGUAAUACGGAGGGUGCGAGCGUUAAUCGGAAUUACUGGGCGUAAAGCGCGCGUAGGUGGCUUGAUAAGCCGGUUGUGAAAGCCCCGGGCUCAACCUGGGAACGGCAUCCGGAACUGUCAAGCUAGAGUGCAGGAGAGGAAGGUGGAAUUCCCGGUGUAGCGGUGAAAUGCGUAGAGAUCGGGAGGAAUACCAGUGGCGAAGGCGGCCUUCUGGACUGACACUGACACUGAGGUGCGAAAGCGUGGGUAGCAAACAGGAUUAGAUACCCUGGUGGUC